rnacentral:misc_RNA from 1 species
GUGAGUCAUCGAAUCUUUGAACGCACAUUGCGCCCGCCAGCAUUCUGGCGGGCAUGCCUGUUCGAGCGUCAUUGCAACCCCUCAGGCCCUGCCUGGCGUUGGAGGACUGCGCUGCAGCCUCCCAAAGCAAGCGGCGGCGGCGCCCCACAACCGAACGCAGUAGUUACCUCUCGUUCUGUGCGUGGUGCGGAGGCCGGCCGGAAAACCCCCCCUCUUUAUCGUGGUUGACCUCGAAUCAGGUAGGAAUACCCGCUGAACUUAAGCAUAUCAAUAAGCGGAGGA